rnacentral:tRNA from 1 species
AGAAUGUGGUGUAUUUUGGUAGCACGGAGAAUUUUGAAUUCUCAGGUUUAGGUUCGAGUCCUAUU